UACAAUGUUUUGUACUAAUACUACAACUUAUUUAUAGUACUAAAACUACCCAACCCCAUAUAAAUAAAAUUGGGCCUAAAUAAUUUGUCAAACCAAUCCAUCACAUACAACCCACGAGGCCACGACACAACCUAACCUAGAUCUAAAACUAUUUCUCUCCGACUACUCUCCCACCAUUAGCCGACAAAAGCAACCGUCACCGGUCGUAUCCACCACCGUCGCAACCCAUAUCUCACCGCAACUGUCACACCGUUCCCUUUACUGAUCCACCAAGUUGAAGCUCUAUUAUCCACCGACCACCAUUGCACCAACAACUCACCGUCGCCAUCACAACCAUUCCCUACCUGUACACAACAUCACCUGAAGCUCGAUGACAAACCGUUGCAACAAUCUCUCCCUUCGACAUCUAUAUUCACCAGAGACUCAAAAGUAGCGGCCAUAUGAAGAGGAAAAAGAUAUUGUAGAGAAGAAAAAUCGGAAAUGGUAUGUUGGGAGUCAAUAAAUGAUUAAAGAAAUCUCGGGUAUUAGAAUUUAGAAAGAAUCUGGCGAGAAUUUUUGGCAAUGUUUGUUAAAAUGUAAAUCUUGGAUUUUAAUUCUCGAAAUUAAAUGUCUUAUCUCGAAAUUAUGCAA